GAUGAACGCUGGCGGCGUGCCUAACACAUGCAAGUCGAGCGAAGCGCUUAAAUUAGAUUUCUUCGGAAUGACGAUUUUUGUGACUGAGCGGCGGACGGGUGAGUAACGCGUGGGUAACCUGCCUCAUACAGGGGGAUAACAGUUAGAAAUGACUGCUAAUACCGCAUAAGACCCCAGCUUCGCAUGAAGCGGUGGUAAAAACUCCGGUGGUAUGAGAUGGACCCGCGUCUGAUUAGCUAGUUGGUAAGGUAACGGCUUACCAAGGCGACGAUCAGUAGCCGACCUGAGAGGGUGACCGGCCACAUUGGGACUGAGACACGGCCCAGACUCCUACGGGAGGCAGCAGUGGGGAAUAUUGCACAAUGGGGGAAACCCUGAUGCAGCGACGCCGCGUGAAGGAUGAAGUAUUUCGGUAUGUAAACUUCUAUCAGCAGGGAAGAAAGUGACGGUACCUGACGAAGAAGCCCCGGCUAACUACGUG
rnacentral:rRNA from 1 species